rnacentral:tRNA from 1 species
GAAGGUAUAGCUCAGUGGUAGAGCACGUGCUUAGCAUGCACGAGGUCCAGGGUUCAAUCCCCCAUCCCUCCA